rnacentral:rRNA from 1 species
GAUGAACGCUGGCGGCGUGCCUAAUACAUGCCAGUCGAGCGAACAGAUGAGGAGCUUGCUCCUCUGACAUUAGCGGCGGACGGGUGAGUAACACGUGGAUAACCUACCUAUAAGACUGGGAUAACUUCGGGAAACCGGAGCUAAUACCGGAUAAUAUAUUGAACCGCAUGGUUCAAUAGUGAAAGACGGUUUUGCUGUCACUUAUAGAUGGAUCCGCGCCGCAUUAGCUAGUUGGUAAGGUAACGGCUUACCAAGGCAACGAUGCGUAGCCGACCUGAGAGGGUGAUCGGCCACACUGGAACUGAGACACGGUCCAGACUCCUACGGGAGGCAGCAGUAGGGAAUCUUCCGCAAUGGGCGAAAGCCUGACGGAGCAACGCCGCGUGAGUGAUGAAGGUCUUCGGAUCGUAAAACUCUGUUAUUAGGGAAGAACAAAUGUGUAAGUAACUAUGCACGUCUUGACGGUACCUAAUCAGAAAGCCACGGCUAACUACGUG